UCUCUCCUCUCCCCACUCCUCAAUUUUUAUUCGAUCAACAUGGCUCCCUCUGAACUAGCACUUCGAAUCUCAUCCAUCAUCAUCUUGAUAUUCCUCGCAUACAAGCUCUACCAACGGCUGAGAUUCAAGCUCCUGGACGCCCACAAUCUUGAGGACCGGGACUGACUCUUCGGGCUGAUGAAGCAGAGCAAGCCGUUAAAUCCCAGAGAGGCUGGUGGCCGAGUGUUUGUCUUGCAUGACUACAACCAAAGCAUGGAGCAGCAGAGAGAGAGGAGGAGGAGGAGAGAGAGAGCUAUGGCAGUGGUGGAGGCUCUGUGGGCGAUGAUGGUGACGACGAUGAAUCUGAAGGAAGACGAUGGUGGUGCUGAGUAGCUUGGCUGGGGUUGAGGAAGAGUUCGUUGAUUGCUCGGACGCUUACGCCAUGGAUGAGGUGGAACGCCUACGUGCUUUGCUGGAAAACGCAGUUGACGAGCAGAAAGUUUGGCGCGCCAAUUCGAGAAAGAAAGGGAGCUGAGCUCGUAGAAGCCAAGAACAGGGAGCAGGGCACUCUCACCCCUGAAUUCUACAACAGCUCAAAGAGUGCAUGGUCAAAGAGUACGUUUCACAAACUUGGUCUGCUAGCACCCAAGAAAACAAAGCAGUCUUUUUAUUCUUCUCUAGGCUGGCUGGUGGCGGUGUCUGAGGAUUUGAAGGAUGAUCUGCUGCACCCUUAAAGCCAUAACCAGAUUGAACUUUCAGAUAUUAACAAGUCAGAUCUCAAAUAGAAGAAAGAAAAAUAAGAAUUUAUGCAGCUUAUGAAGAUGCUAAAAGAAAGGAAAAAUCUCUGCAAGACAAGAACGAGCUAAAGCAGAAGCUGUGGUCUUUUUGUGUGUGCAAGUGUUGGCGUUGUUGGUUUGCAGAACUUUCACGAAUGCCCGUUUCCCUUUUUGGUCUCUGGUUUCCGCACACCCACAUCCAAGGACACUGGACACUUCUUCAUCGACCGCGACAGGGCUUCGAACAAUGUUGUGUUGAAGCUUUUCAGUGUAAAGCCGAAUGUCCAGAGAAGUAGGGGUAUACACAUUGUGGGUUCCUGUAAUGGCUUCCUCUGCCACGAGUUGCUUUCUGAAGUCAGCAACCAACUGUACAUCUUUGCAGAACUUCUCCUGGUAAGUAUGGAUUUGGGUUUUGUCCCAUAAGUAAUGUGUAUAGGGUAGUCCGGAUUAUGUCUCCAAUCAAAGGGUCUGUGGAGCAAGCAAUGGUUUUAAAUAUGGGGUUUGGAUUGGGAGAGAUAUUGGGGGCUCUGUCAACUCUUUUGGUACACCUGUUAAAGUGUUGGAUCCAUCUCUAAAGGAGUACACUUUACGCCUCAAGAAAUGGACCAUGGGAGGUAGUGUUGUGUACAAUCUGGUUUCAGGUUGGAGAGAAAUUGCCAAGGCAAACAAAUUGAAGACCAGUGAUACACUGCAACUAUGGUCAUUCCGAGAUGACUCCAACAAGCUUGGCUUUGUACUUAUUAAAAUUAGCACCACAACAAUGGAGGUUGAUCAAAGUGGACUUAGUGCAAGAACCAGUAGCCAAAAUGGGACAAACAGUCACACUCUCUCAAUUGCCAAAGUAAAUUCAUUGAAGACAUCUGAUGACACAGUGCAGUGUUGGUCGAUCAAGUGUAAAUCCCGGUUACGCUUUGCACUUGUUAAGGUUAGCAAGACCAAGGUGGAGGUUCAACAAAGUAGUCACGGUGCAAGCACUUGUAGCAGUAGUCAAAAUGGGCAAACGGGCUCCUCCGUUUCAUGUAUCAGCCAUGACUGUUAAUUAACACAUACAUAUAAUGAGAAAAGUCAUUGUUGCUCUGAGUGGAAAACCUGGUUUUCUCAAGGACAAUAUGUAGCUUGCAUAUGAAUUUCAUGUGACUUGGGAAAUAAAUCCUGAGAAGUUGAGUAGUCAGUUUGUGAAUAAAUUACAAUACACUAAAGAAGGUGCCAGAGAUGUAAUGGACCGAACUUGUGCUGACCUUCCUUGGCAAGUUUGGCUUGAAGUUGAUGGGAAAGACAUAGAUAUUCCAAAGGAUUCAGAGGGUCUAAUCGUGCUCAACAUUGGCAGCUACAUGGGUGGAGUAAAUCUUUGGCAAACGAAUAUGAGCAUGAUGAUGACACAUUUGUUAGGAUGGAUGCCGUUAUCAAAGAAGUACAUAAAGCACCAGAGGCUAAACUGAAACACAGGAGGGACCGUCAAGAGGUCCAGCUAGCUCGGACCAUCUGCAGUCGAGUGCACAGGAAUCCACCACCAGGCCCUCUCCAGCUCCCACGCUACUUCCGAGAUGUAGGAUUUAUUGUAAAUUACUUAAAGUCUUGUAAUUAAUUAGUAACUGCUCUGAUAUCUGGUUGGAUUAGAUAACCAAAACUGGUGAAUAUUUAGUUACCCUAUUCUGGCAGUUGGUGUGGAUUUAUCAGUUUGUUUGACAGGUGGAAAAAUUUGGGUGUAGUCAAAUUACAGGGGAGACUCUGACGAAAUUUCGGCAAGAGUCUAAGGAAA